rnacentral:rRNA from 1 species
GAUGAACGCUGGCGGCGUGCCUAAUACAUGCAAGUCGAACGCUGAAGGAAGGAGCUUGCUCUUUCCGGAUGAGUUGCGAACGGGUGAGUAACGCGUAGGUAACCUGCCUGGUAGCGGGGGAUAACUAUUGGAAACGAUAGCUAAUACCGCAUAACAGUAGAUGUUGCAUGAUAUCUACUUAAAAGGUGCAAUUGCACCACUACCAGAUGGACCUGCGUUGUAUUAGCUAGUUGGUGAGGUAACGGCUCACCAAGGCGACGAUACAUAGCCGACCUGAGAGGGUGAUCGGCCACACUGGGACUGAGACACGGCCCAGACUCCUACGGGAGGCAGCAGUAGGGAAUCGUCGGCAAUGGACGGAAGUCUGACCGAGCAACGCCGCGUGAGUGAAGAAGGGUUUCGGAUCGUAAAGCUCUGUUGUAAGAGAAGAACGAGUGUGAGAGUGGAAAGUUCACACUGUGACGGUAGCUUACCAGAAAGGGACGGCUAACUACGUG